rnacentral:rRNA from 1 species
CCUACGGGAGACAGCAGUGAGGAAUAUUGGUCAAUGGCCGGGAGGCUGAACCAGCCAAGCCGCGUGAAGGACGAAUGUGCCAAGCAUUGUAAACUUCUUUUGUCAAGGGACAAAAUCAGGCACGAGAGGCUGACCGAGGGUACUUGAAGAAAAAGCAUCGGCUAACUCCGUGCCAGCAGCCGCGGUAAUACGGAGGAUGCGAGCGUUAUCCGGAUUUAUUGGGUUUAAAGGGUGCGUAGGCGGGCUAUUAAGUCAGCGGUAAAAGCGCGGAGCUCAACUCCAGCGAGCCGUUGAAACUGGUUAUCUUGAGUGGGCGAGAGGUAUGCGGAAUGCGUAGUGUAGCGGUGAAAUGCAUAGAUAUCGCGCAGAACUCCGAUUGCGAAGGCAGCAUACCGGCGCCCGUCUGACGCUGAGGCACGAAAGCGUGGGUAUCGAACAGGAUUAGAUACCCGUGUAGUC